rnacentral:rRNA from 1 species
UACGGAGGAUGCGAGCGUUAUCCGGAUUUAUUGGGUUUAAAGGGUGCGUAGGCGGCCUGCCAAGUCAGCGGUAAAAUUGCGGGGCUCAACCCCGUACAGCCGUUGAAACUGCCGGGCUCGAGUGGGCAAGAAGUAUGCGGAAUGCGUGGUGUAGCGGUGAAAUGCAUAGAUAUCACGCAGAACCCCGAUUGCGAAGGCAGCAUACCGGCGCCCUACUGACGCUGAGGCACGAAAGUGCGGGGAUCAAACAGG